rnacentral:ribozyme from 2 species
AUCUUAAUGUAGCCAGCGUAAGCUGAAGGUGGCAAGCCCUAUAAUACAGAGCCGAAA